AGCUGUGGGAGCGACAGAGCCCCCAGUGUUGCUCACACAGGCAGGAGACGGAUAUGGGCAAAGAGGAUGGAACCACUGGAAUUCCUUCAGAAUAACAGGAAAUUGGUUCAUUUGCCUCGGAGCACAGAAAUGGAAGAGCCUUGGCCUUAUCCCCGUCGAGAGGCAGCGCACGGAGGAAGAGGCCAGUGGGGUCAGACUGACUGUCUGUGCCAGCCAUGGCUGCUCUGUGGGACAGGAAGGAAGCUGUAUUUGGAAAAAUCAGUAUCAGAAGCUUCCUUGCUGGCAAAGGAUGUUGUCAGAACA